rnacentral:lncRNA from 1 species
UUUUAUAGAGGUAUGCAGGACGUUCAAAGCACUCUUGAAUUUCUGCCUGUAAAAAUUCCCGUUUUGCACUUCUACGAUCUUGACUUGUCCGAUCUCCUCUUUCUUUAACACCUCUGAAAAAUGUUUGGCCCUUCCGACCAUCGUUUUGACUUGAACCUUGGUGAAGGAGCAGCCCCUCCUUCUCCAGACAACAUAUGGCGCCCGUCCCUCAUAUCC